UUGCGUUAGGGAUAAAAGCGGCAUCUUUUUACUGUGAUUCAGUGCAAAAUGAGCGCACGGAAAAGGGAACAGUAAAAAAUAGAGCGGAUAGCCCGCCCGAAC
rnacentral:sRNA from 1 species